GCGUAAGCCGACGGCGUACAGGAGCAGUGCGGCUACGCGUGUCACGCUCUCUACCCGCCCGUCUACUUCCUGGACUUUGCGCUCUUCUACGCGCUGCCCCUGGGCCUGGCCACCGUGUCCUAUGCACUCAUAGCACGCGUCCUCUUCGCGGGGCCGCUGCCUCCUGGUGACUGGGGACGAUCGGGCUCUGUGCACCGGGGCGGCCCCGCUGGCCCAGGGCGCUUCUCCUCCCGCGGCAGGAGGGGUGACCUCAACUCCCGAAAGCAGGUAGGGACGUCCCUCCUCAUUCGGACCCCUGUACCGAGCCAGCAGCAGAUUGGUGGAUGGAAGCUUGGGCCCUCCUAGAGUCAAGCUCAAGUUCAAGUCCAGGUGGUGCCACUUACUCGGCUUGUUGGCGACAUCACUUCUGAGCGUUUCUGAGCCUCCGUUGCCCCUCCUGUUGUAUGAGGAUUUGAAGGCCAAGACAGAAUUCCUGAAAGGAGCAUAUUCAAGAGUUACUGAACCAGAGUUUUCCUCUCCAGGGUGAGCAGAAUCUGGGUGAUCAUACCACAUUCAAAGACCAUUGAUUAUUGUGACUAAGCAAAGCCUCAGUUCAACUUUCAGAAGAAAGAUAGAUUGGUUUCAUUCAAGGACCUGACUGCGGACUUCACCCAGGAGGAGUGGCGGCACCUGGACCGUGCUCAGAGGCUCCUGUAGAGGGAUGUGAUGCUGGAGGACUACAGCAACCGCAUCUCCGUGGGGUAUCAACGUUAGCAAACCAGAUGUGAUCUUCAGACUGGAGCAAGGAGAAGAACCAUGGACGGUAGAGGAAUUCUCAAGUCAGAACUACUCAGAGUAUAGGCUCAGGAAUUGCGGCGCACGGGCUUGGUUGCUCCGCGGCAUGCGGGAUCUUCCCAGAGCAGGACUCAAACCCUUGUGCCCUACACUGGCAGGCGGAUUCUUAACCACUGCGCCACCAGGGAAGUCUCCAUAGGUCAGUCUUAAAAAAAUAAAUCUUGCUUGAUUUACACAAUCUAUUUGCAAAUCUAGUUGCAUUCCACGUUUCUCUCCAUCCUUUAACUGAGAGAUCAGUUUCACUCUCCACGCUCAGCCCCACUGGAGGGGGACUAGGGUGAGACAACCAAGGUGCCUCAGAUACAAAACUUAAGAAGACACUCACUCUUGGGGUGGUGCAGGUGCCCUAGAGGUCACGCCUACCUCACCCUAGUUCCAGCCCUGCUCAGCCCACAAUCUUUCUUUCUCUUCUUUGUAUUUGUGCAAAUUCUGAAGUUCCCAUGUCACUGGCAAAAUUUGAGACCCACCCCUUCCUUCUGUGUCUCUUUGUAACUCUGACCGUCUCUCUGAAGUCUGUGUCUCCUGGUCUCACUGUCUCUGAGUGCUUCUUUGAGUCUCAUCUGUCUUAUUCAAUACUGUGUCAGACACACUUGCAGUAUACUUUGUGCUUACUGUUCCUUGUGACUGUUUUCCUUUUUCCCAUGGCAGAGGUACUCGUAUUCUUUGCUACUUUCCUCUUCCUUUCAUCCUGUUAAACAGGCUGGUGUGGGUGGGCUGGCUUUUUUUCUAUUGUUUGUUUUUUUCUUUCCCCCAAAUCAGUAGGAGAUGUUUGUAUUUGACAUUUCCUUAAUCCUGAAGAGCUGGGCCAGUCCACCACAGCAAGGCAUUUGUAAGGAACUCUCAUUUCACAGCAAGUGUGUCACGGAUCACAAGUUAUUAUUAAUGGUACUCCCUCCUAGAAGCUGAUGAUGCCUUAAAGGAGGACAAGGAAAUCCAAGGCAAACAUUUGAGGCAAAUUGUAUUCUUCUGCAAUAAAACACUGAUUACAGAGAGAGCAACUGUAUUUGGGAAAACAUUGAAUCUGGGCAUGAAUAUUGUUCCCUCAAGAAAAACACCCUACAGAUAUCCAUGUGGAAACAAUUUGAAAACUAAUUCAGAAGUAAUCGUUGCAAAGAAAAGCUACUUUAAAAAGGUUCCUGGUGAAUACAGUAGAUGUGGGAAAACACAACUCGUUUCUAAGCAAGAGAAAAGUCGUUCUGGAAUGAAACAAUACAAAUAUAAUCCAGUUAGGAAAGCCAGAAGUCAAAAUGAAGAUUUUAUUCUGCACCAGAACAUUCAGGCUUUGAAGCAACCUUUUGGCUGUGGCAAAUGUGGGAAAACCUCUUCAAGAGGGCAGUCCUCUUCACACAGAAGAGGAUACAUUCUGAAAGGAAACCAAAUUAAUGUAAUGAAU